rnacentral:rRNA from 1 species
GACGAACGCUGGCGGCGUGCCUAAUACAUGCAAGUAGAACGCUGAAGGAGGAGCUUGCUUCUCUGGAUGGGUUGCGAACGGGUGAGUAACGCGUAGGUAACCUGCCUGGUAGCGGGGGAUAACUAUUGGAAACGAUAGCUAAUACCGCAUAAGAGUAGAUGUCGCAUAACAUUUGCUUAAAAGGUGCAAUUGCAUCACUACCAGAUGGACCUGCGUUGUAUUAGCUAGUUGGUGAGGUAACGGCUCACCAAGGCAACGAUACAUAGCCGACCUGAGAGGGUGAUCGGCCACACUGGGACUGAGACACGGCCCAGACUCCUACGGGAGGCAGCAGUAGGGAAUCUUCGGCAAUGGACGGAAGUCUGACCGAGCAACGCCGCGUGAGUGAAGAAGGUUUUCGGAUCGUAAAGCUCUGUUGUAAGAGAAGAACGAGUGUGAGAGUGGAAAGUUCACACUGUGACGGUAUCUUACCAGAAAGGGACGGCUAACUACGUG